rnacentral:rRNA from 1 species
UACGGAGGGAGCUAGCGCUGUUCGGAAUUACUGGGCGUAAAGCGCACGUAGGCGGCUUUUUAAGUCAGGGGUGAAAUCCCGGGGCUCAACCCCGGAACUGCCUUUGAAACUGGGAAGCUAGAAUCCUGGAGAGGCGAGUGGAAUUCCGAGUGUAGAGGUGAAAUUCGUAGAUAUUCGGAAGAACACCAGUGGCGAAGGCGACUCGCUGGACAGGUAUUGACGCUGAGGUGCGAAAGAGUGGGGAGCAAACAGG